GAUGAACGCUGGCGGCGUGCCUAAUACAUGCAAGUCGAACGCUGGAAAUCUAGCUUGCUAGAUUGAAGGAGUGGCGAACGGGUGAGUAAUACAUAAGCAACCUACCCACGAAGACUGGGAUAAUCUCUGGAAACGGGGACUAAUACCGGAUAGGUAAUCGGAAGGCAUCUUCUGAUUAUUAAAGGUUAAAAACACUGGUGGAUGGGCUUAUGGCGCAUUAGUUAGUUGGUGAGGUAACGGCCCACCAAGACGAUGAUGCGUAGCCGGCCUGAGAGGGUGAACGGCCACAUUGGGACUGAGACACGGCCCAGACUCCUACGGGAGGCAGCAGUAGGGAAUUUUCGGCAAUGGGGGAAACCCUGACCGAGCAACGCCGCGUGAGUGAUGACGGCCUUCGGGUUGUAAAGCUCUGUUGUAAGGGAAGAACGGUAGAUAGAGAAUAUCUAAAUGACGGUACCUUACCAGAAAGCCACGGCUAACUACG
rnacentral:rRNA from 1 species